GCGAUGGUGGCCCACAUCAACUGCACGAUCCAAUGGCUUCAAGCGAUCCUGUAUGCGACCUGACGGCCCAUGUUCAUUGUCGGUCAGGAAAACUAAAUAGAAAAAGAUUUUUUGAGUGUCAUCCAAUGGUUGAAAUCAAAUCCAUCGCUCGAUCCAACGGUCCAUGUUCGAUCCGACUGAGAACUAAAUUGAUUUGCAUUGAUCGAUGGAUUAGAAUCAAUCUAAGGCAAGAUCGGAUGGCUGACAGUAAUGCCAACUUAUAUAAGGCAUGAUGCGAUGAUUUUGGGCAAGAUCUGGAGCACCCAAUCAAGAUCCGAUGGCU
rnacentral:lncRNA from 1 species